rnacentral:misc_RNA from 1 species
GCAAAACAUAUAAUUAAAUAGCCUAAAAACACCAUAUGAACAAAGAUUCUUCGCAACCUAACGGUAUCAUUGCAUCAGCAAACACCAAAAUUGAGGAACUCUACUCUAGUUGAUCUAAUUUUUUUCAUUUGGAGACACUUUCCUCGUUUUAAAAUAAUAAUAUUCAGUUCUUGUUGGCAGUGGGAUUCAAAAUGAUGAUCCCAUUAGAAAUAUAAAUCUGAUUAAAAGCAGUUUGACUUUGCAAAAAUUCAAUUCUUUUUGUGCAAUAAUGAUGAUCCACUGUCAAAGAUUGUCCCUUUAAUAUUUAUGGUGUUAGAACAACCUUGAUUCCUCACUCAUAAAAGUAGUACCCCUUCUCAGUUUCACAAUUUUCUGUACAUAGAUACCAGAUACGCGCAGAAAAUUAUUCACAGUAGUUCUCUGUGAUUAGUCUUUGCCUUGUUUGUGCA